UGUAAGCGUAUACCAAAGUUGUUGCAGUUAAAACGCUCGUAGUCGGAAUUUGGCAGUUCCGGAUGUGUGCACGUCGUGUGCGCACUUCGCGGGGAUUGCUUUUGUGGUCUUGCGUAGGAUGAGGCACUUUUAUUAGUGAACGUCCUCACGCAACCACUUUUUACUGUGAGAAAAUCAGAGUGCUCAAAGCAGGCAUUUGCCGUGAAUGUAUUAGCAUGGAAUAAUAGAAUAGGACUUGGUUCUAUUUUGUUGGUUUGUUGGGACUGAGUAAUGAUUAAGAGGGACAGUUGUGGGCAUUUGUAUUUCGGUGCUAGAGGUGAAAUUCUUAGAUUACCGAAAGACAAACUGCUGCGAAAGCGUCUGCCAAGGAUGUUUUCAUUGA
rnacentral:rRNA from 1 species